UACAGAGGGGGCAAGCGUUGUUCGGAAUUACUGGGCGUAAAGGGCGCGUAGGCGGCCCGCUAAGUCGAACGUGAAAUCCCCGGGCUCAACCCGGGAACUGCGUCCGAUACUGGUGGGCUCGAAUCCGGGAGAGGGAUGCGGAAUUCCAGGUGUAGCGGUGAAAUGCGUAGAUAUCAAGUGGAACACCAGUGGCGAAGGCGAGUCUCUGGACAUUUCCUGACGCUGAGGCACGAAAGCCAGGGGAGCAAACGGG
rnacentral:rRNA from 1 species